rnacentral:rRNA from 1 species
AUUGAACGCUGGCGGCAGGCCUAACACAUGCAAGUCGAGCGGAAAGGCUCCUUCGGGGGUACUCGAGCGGCGAACGGGUGAGUAACACGUGAGUAAUCUGCCCUGCGCUCUGGGAUAGCCACCGGAAACGGUGAUUAAUACCGGAUAUGACCGCUACACGCAUGUGUUGGUGGUGGAAAGUUUUUCGGCGCAGGAUGUGCUCGCGGCCUAUCAGCUUGUUGGUGAGGUAAUGGCUCACCAAGGCUUUGACGGGUAGCCGGCCUGAGAGGGUGCCCGGUCACACUGGGACUUGGACACGGCCCAGACUCCUACGGGAGGCAGCAGUGGGGAAUAUUGGACAAUGGGCGGAAGUCUGAUUCAGCAACGCCGCGUGAGGGAUGACGGCCUUCGGGUUGUAAACCUCUUUCAGUACCGACGAAGCGAGAGUGACGGUAGGUACAGAAGAAGGACCGGCCAACUACGUGCCAUCAGCCGCGGUAAAAC